UUUGCAUUUACCCAUACACAUUUACAUGGAAGGAAUCUUUUUUGGUAUUAUUUUAACACACUUUUCCACGUAUUCACAUACUGCACAUGCCAUCCGUCCAUAUAUAUCCACACAAUAAUAACUGCACAACUUUUCCUCCAAGCAACUCUCCAUAUGUAAUCACCAAGGUAGAGAACAGAAAACAGAGAAGAACGAAGGGGCUGGGGGGAAAAAGAGAACAGGGAAAAGGGAACAAAAAAGAGAACGGACUGAUCUGGGGAACGAAAAUACAAGGGAAAGGGGAUUUUCACAACAAAAAAUGGGAAAAGGGGUUGGGCAGAUUUCAGAAAACACACACAAAGCCACACACAAAAAUAAAAAAGGGAACAAAACGAGGAGGGGAGCUGGAUAUAAAUAAAAUGAACGAGCACCUUCCCUGAUAAAGCUCAGCCACAUCUAAUUUCCAAGAACGACAACCUCCCAAAACCAAGCUAAUCCCCCUUCACCCUAUGACAACAUGCCCUCCUCUAUAACAUAAACGAAAUGAAAAUGACGAGAAACAGAGGGGAAAGAGUAGAGAGAAUAAACCAAGCAUAAAAUCAAGAUCUUAAAAAAAAGAAAACACAACCUUCUUCUUCAUAAAAGAUCUAGCUCUAAAACCAACCUUUAUCAGUCAGAAAUGAGCUUUCAAACUCCAUAAACACAGCAGUUUGGUCUUCUUCACCAUCGAUUCGAGUUUUCGUCUGCGGUUCGUCACAUUUUUUGAGUUCAAAGCUGUCAAACAAUUGAAUUUCUGACUUAUUUGAGAUCCAGGUGCCCGAGCAGCCGAGUGAGCAUUAUUCAGCUGGUUCAGUUUUUUGUCGGGGAUUUCGAAGUAGCUGUAUGGCGUUCGUAACCCUGUUCUCUCCCUUCUAUCUUGUUAUCUUUUCAGCAUUUUCUAGACUAUCUAUGUAGUAGGAUGUUCGGACUUGCAUUAGAGGCUCUAGACUCGUGACACCAGAUCAGUUGGGCUAUGUAGUUUAUUAUUAUUUUGCCUUCCGUAUAUUUUCUGUCAUUUUAAACAUUUAUUAUGAAAUCGGUGUUUAAAACUCGUGUUGGAAAUGUUUUCUUACUAAUGGAAAUGGGUUGUGGUUAGUGGA